rnacentral:rRNA from 1 species
CCUACGGGAGGCAGCAGUUAGGAAUCUUCCGCAAUGGGCGCAAGCCUGACGGAGCGACGCCGCUUGGAGGAGGAAGCCCUUCGGGGUGUAAACUCCUGAACCCGGGACGAAACCCCCGAUGAGGGGACUGACGGUACCGGGGUAAUAGCGCCGGCCAACUCCGUGCCAGCAGCCGCGGUAAUACGGAGGGCGCGAGCGUUACCCGGAUUCACUGGGCGUAAAGGGCGUGUAGGCGGCCUGGGGCGUCCCGAUGUGAAAGGCCACGGCUCAACCGUGGAGGAGCGUGGGAUACGCUCAGGCUAGACGGUGGGAGAGGGUGGUGGAAUUCCCGGAGUAGCGGUGAAAUGCGCAGAUACCGGGAGGAACGCCGAUGGUGAAGGCAGCCACCUGGUCCACCCGUGACGCUGAGGCGCGAAAGCGUGGGGAGCAAACCGGGAUUAGAUACCCGGGGUAGUCCACGCCCUAAACGAUGCGCGCUAGGUCUCUGGGUUGUCUGGGGGUCCGAAGCUAACGCGUUAAGCGCGCCGCCUGGGGAGUACGGCCGCAAGGCUGAAACUCAAGGAAUUGGNGGNGNGAGACGUGCGAGGCGCGACGAGGGGAGAGG